rnacentral:lncRNA from 1 species
UCGAGGUCCUUGUGUAAACCUCGAUUAGCUCUUAUGAAGGAACUUCUUUUCCUUGGUCAAAUCAGUCUGUGGCUUGGCGUGCUAAGAGAAGUUGUAUGAAGUGAAGAUAACAAAUCUUCAACACAUAUAACACUUCGGACAUGCGUGAACGAUUUGGGAUUACCCGAGAGGAAGCGAAACAAAACUUUCACAUAUUCACGGUGGCAAGAGUGCAUGUGAACUUUGGGAAAAUACUUCUUCCUAUCAAAUAUAUUCUUCAUGAGCUGGGCACAAAGAUAGUGCUUUCAAAAACUUCAUCCUGGAACAUGGAGAAGUUG